UACGUAGGGUGCAAGCGUUGUCCGGAAUUAUUGGGCGUAAAGAGCUCGUAGGCGGUUUGUCGCGUCUGCUGUGAAAACUCAGGGCUUAACUCUGAGCUUGCAGUGGGUACGGGCAGACUAGAGUGCGGUAGGGGAGACUGGAAUUCCUGGUGUAGCGGUGAAAUGCGCAGAUAUCAGGAGGAACACCGGUGGCGAAGGCGGGUCUCUGGGCCGUAACUGACGCUGGAGGAGCGGAAAAGCGUGGGGAGCGAACAGG
rnacentral:rRNA from 1 species